rnacentral:rRNA from 1 species
UUGAACGCUGGCGGAAUGCUUUACACAUGCAAAUCGAACGAUGAACCUUAGCUUGCUAAGGGGAUUAGUGGCGAACGGGUGAGUAAUAUAUCGGAACGUGCCUUGUAAUGGGGGAUAACUAGUCGAAAGAUUAGCUAAUACCGCAUACGCCCUGAGGGGGAAAGUAGGGGAUCUUCGGACCUUACGUUAUAAGAGCGGCCGAUAUCUGAUUAGCUAGUUGGUGGGGUAAUGGCCUACCAAGGCGACGAUCAGUAGCUGGUCUGAGAGGACGACCAGCCACACUGGAACUGAGACACGGUCCAGACUCCUACGGGAGGCAGCAGUGGGGAAUUUUGGACAAUGGGCGCAAGCCUGAUCCAGCCAUUCCGCGUGAGUGAAGAAGGCCUUCGGGUUGUAAAGCUCUUUCGCAAGGGAAGAAAACUUACUUUCUAAUAAAGAGUGAGGCUGACGGUACCUUGAUAAGAAGCACCGGCUAACUACGUGCCAGCAGCCGCGGUAAUACGUAGGGUGCGAGCGUUAAUCGGAGUUUCUGGGCGUNNNGCGUGCGCCGGCGGUUUGGCNNGUCNGAUGUGNGUUCCCCGCGCUCCGCUUGGGGCNUGCGUUUGGNUCUGCCCGNCUUGGUGUGUUCUGNGGGGGGUGGGUUUCCNCGUGUUGCCGUGGNNUGCGUUGNGAUGUGGNGGGUNNCCCNUGGCGGGGCCCGCCCCCUGGGNUGNUNUUGNCGCUCUUGCUCGNNNGCGUGGGGCGCCCACAAGAUUCUUUNCCCUNNUNNUCCNCNCCCUNNNCCUCUCAAGGGUGUUGGUGGAGUAAAAUCCAUGAGUAACGCAGCUAACGCGGGAAGUAGACCGCCUCGGGAGUGCGGUCGCAAGAAUAAAAAUCAAAAGAAAAAACGGGGGCCCGCCCAAGCGGCGGAUUAUGUGGAUUAAUUCGAUGCAACGCGAAAAACCUUACCUGGCCUUGACAUGCCACUAACGAAGCAGAGAAGCAUUAGGUGCCCGAAAGAGAAAGUGGACACAGGUGCUGCAUGGCUGUCGUCAGCUCGUGUCGUGAGAUGUUGGGUUAAGUCCCGCACCGAGCGCAACCCCCCCCACUAAUUGCCAUCAUUUAGUUGGGCACUCUAAUGAGACUGCCGGUGACAAACCGGAGGAAGGUGGGGAGGACGUCAAGUCCUCAUGGUCCUUAUGGCCAGGGCUUCACACGUAAUACAAUGGUCGGUACAGAGAGUUGCCAAGCCGCGAGGGGGAGCUAAUCUCAGAAAGCCGAUCGUAGUCCGGAUUGUUCUCUGCAACUCGAGAGCAUGAAGUCGGAAUCGCUAGUAAUCGCGGAUCAGCACGUCGCGGCGAAAAAGGUCCCGGGUCUU